rnacentral:rRNA from 1 species
ACCCCCCCUCUCCCCCCCCCUUGUUUGUUUUUUUUGUUCUGAGCGCCCACCACACACCCCCGCCCGAGAGUGAUCGCCCACUCUUGGGGUUUAGACCGGCCCAUACCCCUCCGGGGGACAGCAAUGAGGGACUCUUUCCCCAAAGGAGCGGAAAUCUGCCCGCGCCCCCCCCCCGAGAGAAGAGGAGUUUUUUUCUUCUUAAAAACUCCCCUUUUAGAGAAAAAACGAGUGUGAGAGUGGAGCGUUUUCACUGUGGGGGUAUUUUUCCAGAAAGGGGGCCGCUCUCUACGUGCCAGCAGCGCGCGGUAAAUCUUGGGGUGGCAAGCGUUCUCCCGAUUUUUUUGGGCGAAAAAGAGAAGGGAAGGGGUUUUUUAAAAUUUUAUGUGAAAACCUUCCGCUUCCCCAGAGAAGUGCAUCGAACGCCGGAUAUCUUGAGUGCAGAAGAGGGGUGUGGAUCUCCAUGUGUAGCGGUGGAAUGCGUAUAUAUAUGGAAGAACCCCAGUGGCGAAGGCGGCUACCUUGUCUGCAACUGACGCUGAGUCUCGAAAGCAUGUGUAGCGCACAGG